rnacentral:lncRNA from 1 species
CAUUUCUUUUUAUGUUGUUGACCAGACUAUUUUGCUGGACUAAACUUGAAAAAAAAAAAAAAAAAAAACCAACAACACAAACUGAGCAGGAUGGGGGUGGGGGUGAGAUGAAUAUUUAUUUGAUCUCAGAUAUUUGCAUUUUUGAAUAAUUGGCAACCAGGGAGGCUUGCCCUCCUCGCUGUCCAGGCUAAUAAGGUUUGGAGACGAAAUGUUCUAACACCCCAAGUACUUUAACUGUUUUUGUUAUGAAACUUUGCAGGGUGACAUGAAGCUCUGCGGUAUUUGUGAGGAGAUCUGUAAAUGAUGGAUUUGCUCACCUCAAAAUAGAACUGUAGCCGCUCCAAACUUUCCACAAGUCGGAGCACAGUAACAGAAUUCAUUCAGGACUUGCUAGUUUCCUACUUGAAAUGUGUUACAUAACAGAACAGUCCCGCCUUCGCGCCUCUCAGAACUACCCAUGAAGUGAUGGUGAAAUUUAUCCUUAAAAGCUAGAAAUAGCUUUGCUAAACUCUGGGAAAAAGAUGAGUUUUUUUUUCUUCUGAUAUCCCCCCCUUUUUUCACCCAAACAUUGCAUAAUGUUAAAAAAAAAAAAAAAAAGUCAAAUCUUUCCGUGGGGUUUAAUUUCAUCCUCCAUGUGGCUGUGGUCGGAGGGGUAACUUAAGUACUUUGGGGGCUGGUGGAUUUUUGGAGGAUCACGCACUCCCGGGUCGGUUUUCAUCUGAAGCCUUAGGGAAGCACGCCCGAUCCUGGGGUUUCUCCCCUUCCCUCCUGCUCCCCCUUUUGUGGAUGAGCUAUCUACAACGGAGCAUCUUUUCAGAAAGCCUGCCUCCUUGUAGGAGUGCCAAAGCAAAGCCGCCCUCUGCUUUCCACACUGAGGUUUUGAUUUGGAAAUGGGUUUCCCUUACCAUUUGGGGUAACUGACUCGUAUGCGAAGUCACCAGCCCCACCGCCUGUGCUCCAUGACCAGCCAGGUCUCAUUUCUUAGAACUCAGCCUGCAGAUACUGUUUGCUGACACUGAGGACUUGGUGUUCCAAGCUUCUGCUGCUCAUUUUCAAGAGAUUUAAGAUAACUUUUUUUUUUCUUUUACUGGGUCCUGAGAAACCCAGAAGUAUAUUUUUUCAAAAAUUUCCUUCAAGAAGGAUUGCAGACUCCAAGAGAGGGAUCAGAAUCAUGUGAUCAGACUAUGCUGAUGUUUUUAUUCGUUCAUUCACUAAAUAUUUACUGAGCACCUACUAUGUGCUGGGGACUGCUCUUUGGGCUAGAGGCACAGUGGAGAAUAAGGUGGACAGGCUCUGCCCUCGUGGUGAUUAUCCUCUUGUAAGAGACCUUGGACAUACAGAUUUAGACUCUGAUAGCCUUUGAAGAAAGCAGGGCGAGGAGUAGGCAGAGAGUGAAGAUCUGGCGGAAGUGAGGGUAGAGAAAGUGAUGGAGGUCAGAGAAGGGCCCUUAGAGAUGGACCACUGGAUCGGAAGCCUGAAGGGUGAGCGGAAGGGAGUUGUGGGAAGCUCUGGGGGAAGUGGUGUUCAGGCCGCAGAGUAUGCAAAGGCCCUGGGGUCAGAAAGGCUGGGCAUGUUGGAGGAGCAGAAAGGAGGGCAUGUGGCUGGAGUGCUGAGACCAAGGCGGGGCACGGAGGAGACGGGGGCGUUGGUCGCAGUCCAUGGCGUUCAGCCUGAGUGCUGUAUGAGAACCAAGCAGCCAUUAUUAAAGUUGGCCCCCGUCCCUGCACUAUGUCCGAGGGGACCUGUUUUGCUCCCUCCCUGCUACUCAUUGACCCAUCCCUGCCUGUCUUGGUUUCCACCUCUCUGUUCCAAGGGGGCUCGGGUGAGACCCCUCCCACUGGACUCAGCCCACUCCCAUGCCCAGUAUUUCUGCAUGGCUUUAUUAGCAUCAGUGAUGCUAACUGUUAAGUAAAGGGGAGGAGAAGCUGGUCCUCGGAUGAAGUUUCUUGCUUUUCCAGCAAAUCCUUCGAGGGAUCUCUGUUCAGCCCUGCCUGGGGUACAGCGGGCGGAGGUGAUUGUUCUGGGCGAGUCCUGGAAAGCAGACUUAGAAGGUGAGUCUGGAGGGAGAACAGGUAGAGAAAAAUUAACUGGGUCAUGGUCUUCGAAGCCGCCACAUUUCCAGAAUGUGUGCCCUUGGGUCUGAUUUUGAAGAGGAAGCCCUUUGCAGUCAUGAACUGCGUGCGGGAGCCCAGGCUGUGUUCAAAUUCCUCCUGAAGAAAGAAAUAGUAACGAGAACAGGCUGUGGAAAAGAAUGUAGUUAGUGUCUUAAAGAUGGGCAAAUAUUCAUUCUCAUUUGUCCUUUUAUGUGAAACAGAUUUUUAAAAAGGCAAUUGGAGGAGUUAACGACAUCCAGAACCCUGCUGAUUCUAGUGGGGCUGGGGGGUGGGGACUCCAAGUGGCCCACGUGACUAAAUCAGACCCGAAGAAAGAGGUGAGUUGAUUACCCUGGAAAUUGCACAGGAAUUCUUCAAAGCCAUGGCCAGUAAUUAGAUUGCAAGAUGCUACUCUCUAUGCACAUAACUUAGCAUAAUUUUAUUAGGCAGCGCAUCACCACCAGAAUUAGAGAAAACCAGGCCAGAAAAAAAUCUGCUAGCCAGGCUGCCUCAUGCAAACGUGGAGACGGUUGCUCUAAAAUGGCUUCAGCUUGAAGGAGACACCGCGAGAAAGCCCUGACUUUCCUCUGGGGCUAAGGGUGGGUGGGAGUGGAAAUGGAUGCCCUGACAUUUUAGGGGAUGGGCUGGAAUUGGGCGGGGUGGGGGGAGGGCUAGGCAGCCAAGGGCAACGUGCCAUGGACCCCGCUGAAAUCAAGAGAGGCUUGAGAACCAUUUCCCACACCUGCAGAAUGAUACGGGGCCACUUCCUUAAGUUCUCUGAGCUUCAGUCUCUGCCUGAUUUUAGGGGUGAGAACCCCACUGGUGCGGGCCAGCAGCCAGGCUCCUGGUGCAGUUGUGGUCACCACUGAAGACGUCUAGGGGGAGGGUGGGCUGCAGACGGAGGAAGGCAGUGUCUCUCCCAAGCUCAAAGUCCUUCGUAAAUGGAGUUCCCCUUGUGGCACAUCGGAAACGAAUCCGACCAGGAACCGUGAGGUUGCGGGUUUGAUCCCUGGCCUCGAUUAAUGGGUUAAGGAUCUGGCGUUGCCAUGAGCUGUGGUGUAGGUCACAGACGUGGCUUGGAUCUGAUGUUGCUGUGGCUCUGGCGUGGGCUGGCAGCUGUAUCUCUGAUGGGACCCUUAGCCUGGGAACCUCCAUAUGCCACAAGGGUGGCCCCAAAAAGCAAAGUCCUUCCCAGAAAGGGGUUCACGUGCAUGUUUUUUUUCCAAACACUGUGGUCAUCUGUCUGGAUAGAGUCCUUAGAAGAUGGCAAAGCUGAGGCAUGGGGGGCAGUAUCCCACGUGGACUCCUUUUCCUCCCCCUUUUCUUGACUUUGCAGGUGAUCGGCCUUUAACUAGCCCUGCUCUGCAUGGCUCCUUUUCUCCCCACCUGUACUCUGAGCGGGAACCCACCUGCGUUAUACUGGGCUGGCCUGGCCAUCCCUAACUGGGGCUUAGGGCUGGGGGUAGAUGUGGCCCAAGGAGAAGGGGGCCAUCCCCCAAGUUCCACUGACUCGGCGGAUGGAGAAUGAAAGUUGGUCAUUGAACUGGCAAGUCAUUUAACACAUUUUUUAAAAGAUGAAAACAAAUCCAUUAAUACAGCAGAAGGCCAAAUGCGCUUGAGUUUGAAAAAAUAAGAGGCUUGAGAGAAGUGAGGGGGGAGGUGGUGGCCGGAGCCCAUGCGGGUGGUGCUUGCUCACUGCCUCGGCUCUUAGCGGAUAGGGAGAGGCAGCCGAAGAGGAACUGGCUUCUGGUUUCUGCCUCAGCCAUCCCUGGACCUGGCCCGUGGUGAUGCCUCAGUAAACCUUUGUGACUUAGACUUUUUUUUUUAAAUUGUGGUAGAACAUGCCCAAAAGGUACCAUUUAAACUAUGUUUAAGUGUAUGGUUCAGUGGCAUUAAGUCAUCGGAUUCUGGAAGAUUCAAGAAUCCAACUUGAAAAAGUGGGCCUUGCUGCGGCAUGGUGUUUCAGGGUUGCAAAGUGCUUUCUCUCCCACUUGCUCUUCAUGAUUCUGUGACUAUGAAGUUAUUAUCCUCAUUUUGCAGAGAAGAAAAGCAUCACGGAGAGAGGCUGAGGUUGAACAGGCCACAUAGCAACACAGCCAUUCAUAGCAUUAUUCACAACAGCCAAAAAGUGAAACCAAUCCAAUUGUCAAGUUAUCCAUUUCUCCACUGAUGAAUGGGUAAACAAAAUGUGGCCUCCCCAUACUGUGGAAUACUAUCCAGCCAUAAAAAAGAAGGAAGUACUGAUACAUGCUAUUGCAUGAACGCUCCUCGCAAACAUUGAGGGAACUAAACCAGUCGCUAUAGGCCACCUAUUGUAUGAUCCUAUAUUUAUAUAAAAUGUCUGGAAGACGCACAUCUGUAGAGACAGAAAGUAGGUUAGUGGGUGCCUGGGGCUGGCUUCAAAGAGGUAUGGGGUUUCUUUUGGGGGUGAUGAAAAUGUUCGAAAAUUAGCUUCUGCUGAUGGUUGCAGAACUGCAAAUACACUAAAACACAUUUCAUUAUACCCUCUAAGUGGGUGAAUUUUAUAGUAUGUAACCUAUAUCUCAGUAACUUUGUUAAAAAACAAAUGCUGCCAAGCUGCUUAAGAGUUCCGGUUGCUCCACAUCUUCGUCAGCACUUGGCAUCGUCUGUCCUUUUGUUUUAGUCCUUCUAACUGAUAGACGGUGGUCUUCCUUCCUGAUUUUAAUAGCAUGUUCCCUAUGGCUGACGACAUCGCACAUCUCAUGUGCUUGCUCGCCGCUCACAUAGCUUCUCUGCUGAGUUGUUCAUGUCUUCCCCCCACCUUAAAAAUGAGAUUGUUUUCUUAUCGUUGAAUUCUGAGAGUUCUUAUUUUUUCUUUUUUUCUUUUUAGGGCCGCACAUGCAGCAUGUAGAAGAUCCCAGACGAGGGGUCGAAUCAGAGCUGCAUCUGCGACCUACCCCACAGCUCACAGCAACGCUGAAUCCUUAACCCACUGCGUGAGGCCAGGGAUCGAACCCACAUCCUCAUGGAUACUAGUCGGGUUUGUAACCUGCUGAGCCACAACAGGAACGCCUUUCUUUUCUUUUUAUGGCUGCACCUGCGGCAUAUGGAAGAUCCUAGACUGGGGGUCAAAUCAGAGCUGCAGCUGCUGGCCUGCUCCACAGCCACACCAGAACCGAGCUGCAUCUGUGUCCUAUGCCACAGCUUGUGGCAAUGCUAGAUCCGUAACCCUCUGAGUGAGGCCAGGGAUCAAACCUGCAUCAUUAUGGACACUAUGUCAGGUUCUUAACCCAGUGAGCCACAGUGGGAACUCUG